rnacentral:rRNA from 1 species
CGGCGGACGGGUGAGUAACACGUGGAUAACCUACCUAUAAGACUGGGAUAACUUCGGGAAACCGGAGCUAAUACCGGAUAAUAUUUUGAACCGCAUGGUUCAAAAGUAAAAGACGGUCUUGCUGUCACUUAUAGAUGGAUCCGCGCUGCAUUAGCUAGUUGGUAAGGUAACGGCUUACCAAGGCAACGAUGCAUAGCCGACCUGAGAGGGUGAUCGGCCACACUGGAACUGAGACACGGUCCAG